GAGUAUCUUAUGUCAAGAAGCAGCUCCAUGUCUUGCUCAAGCAGAUCAUAGUUGUGGCUGCAUUAUACUGGUCCUCUAUGAAGAAUGCACUGCAGGGCCAACGCGUCGUAUCAGUGACGGUUGACACGCUGCAGGCGCACUAUGAUGGAAUCGACAAGUCGGCAGCAAAGACCAUAUCUGAUGCAACGCGCUUUCUCAAGAAUCAGGAGUCAUGGAGUUUCUGGAUUUGCCUCAAUUCCCGUUGUGAUGGCAAGAAGUUCUCGGACACUAGUUCGCUCUGGCAACACACGUGCAGCAAGCACCGAGAUGAGCUCUGGGGAAGCUGCAGUCACUUAUAGAUCCAGAAUAUUAUGAGAAUUCAUCACAGGAUGAUCACUCGUUGGUUGGGAUAACUCUCAGCCGCCAGUCUGACACCUUCCUUUUACCAAGGGUGCAGGAUAUGUUUGAAUCCUUGCUGCUUUCACCAUCUGUUGGAAUACAGGCAGAACCCUUCGCUGAAAUGCGACAAAGGAAAUGCAGAGAAGGAUCUGAGAUCCUUGGGAGCAUCAGGGAGAAGCUGAGGAUGUUGCCUAAAGAUACACUUAGCACUGAGUUUCAGGAGUGCUGUUCUGGAAUAGACAAAUUGUGGCUAAAGUUUCUUCAAGUUACUGUUGUGGAUUAUCGUGAAAUCAUUCUUCCCCUUGCGAGAUCAUACCAAUGGAUAGAAUUGAAGAAACGGAUUCCUUUUUAUCUAAAUCAUCCUGGUACUAGGCGUAUUGGAUUUGCUGGUGCCAAUAUUGAUAUUAUAUGCGGAAUUUCUGGCCAAUCUGUCAAGGAAAUGGCAAGCACCUCCAGUUCUCAACAAAGCCUUACUGUUUCCAACAAGAACAAUGCUGAACAAGAGACACUCGCAUCUGGUCAUGUGAUCUUUUAACAACCAGCCUAUAAUUUCCUAUGUAUAUCUUCCUGUCAUUGGGCAAUCUGAAAAACCAGCCUAUAAUUUCCUUUGUAUGUGUGCAGUCAUUGUGCAAUCUGAGGCAUUUCAGAGAUAAACUUCUGAUGGGGCCACUUGUAUGGAUCCCGUCAGUUGAAAAUCCCUGCAUUGCACAGCAAUUUUAUGAAAUCUUCUCUUCUUGGGAGAAAACGACCACCACUUAAGCGAUGUUGUACUGACUUGCAUGAAGACUCUUCUCUGCAGAGUUGUAGAUUGCAGCACUUUUUAUGAAAAGGUUGGGAAAACUUUUGCUUCUGAGAUUGCGGCCACAAUUCUCAUUGAAUUGCAUAUGUCAGAAACUUGUUCGCGUUUUAGAGAAAACAAGGAGACCGAGAGACAUGUAGUGAACCGAAUCACGUGCGGAGAUUGCAUAUGCCCAACACAUUAUCUUUUUGGGAUCAAAUUCGAUGCUCAAAUCAGCUGUAGCUGUGGGAAGUCUUCCGGUGAAUACCUGCAUACCACACUUUUCCAUAAACUCGAUGUCGGUUCACCUAAAACAGCAAAGAUCAAGUCCUUUGCAGAGCUUCCGGUCCUAUUGGAUGAACAGUUUCGCGAGGACAACAAAUGCGACCAUUGUGGAAGUCUGCAUAAUUUUGAUCUCUUUCUUUCAAACACACCACACUUCUUUACAAUAGUUUUGAACUGGCUGGGUGGCAGUGAAAGCCAGGACGCACUAUCUGAAGUUCUGGCUGGCAUCACGUCUCCCCUUGACACUGAGUUCUUUUGCAGGAGUGCUCAUCCUGCAGCUAUGUAUGCUGUCACCUCCAUGGUACGUGCACAACAAACUAUUCUAUUUUCCUAAAUUGAAUUGUCAAUGGAGCUGAACAAAUACUUUUAUCAUUUAAUUCUCAUGUUAAGGUAAUCCUGAAAUGAUAAAAAGCAAUGAGCUAUUUGUAUUGGUUGACGUUCAUGACCUUUUAUAAGUUGUGUUGCUAAUUGUUUACUGUUCCUUGACUGCUACCGGAGGCCAAGUUGGUAUUGUUCUAAGACUGAAGCAAGGUUCUUAUUUUGUGGAACAAAACGGAUCAUGGUUAAAUGGCGUUGUCACCUGGUUCAAAUUGCCUAGGUUACAUUGACAAGGCAUUUUGCUGCUAUUUCUAAAGAAGUGGAUAUAAGGUUUAAACUAUGAUACAUCAUAUCUGAGUUGGUUCGUACUUGGAGUUGGAGAGAUAUUUGCAAGUUUUUGAAUGGUCCUAUCUGUGGCAUAUUUUUUCCUGCCUACUUCACUUAUAUCAAGAUAUUUAGAAGACUCGGCAGAAGAAUUUCAGCAAGAAUCAAUAGCCUGUGUGAUCCUUAUGUCGCUGAGUUCCUUUUAUAAACGUUCCAUUGAUUGAACGGUUGAAGAAGUAUCAUAUGUAGAUCUGCUAUGCUGAUGACCGCUACGUCUGCUUUGCUCGCGACGAGGACAAGUGGGUCAUAUAUGGCUUCGAGACUGUCGAGAGAGAAGAUAGUUGGGAGCAUUUGCUAGAACGUUUCAAGGACUGCAAGCUCCAGCCUGAAGUUCUAUUUUUCGAGGUCAUCAAGUAGACUAUUGUAUAGCAAACCUCUCUGACGAUCAGAGCCAACUCUGGACCCAGUUUUUUUGUUUCAUUGCCACCAUUUUGAUGCUGUUUGGCUUGGUCACUCUGACAUCGAAUACAGAUAAACUCUUCAGAGAUGGUAUAAAUUGUUCUGUGUGUUCUUAACUUGA